AAAACUGUGUUUUCAGUGAUGUAACUAUAGAGAACUAGGUCUGCUUCCUCUAUAGCUAAUAAAAAAACUCUCCUCCCCAGCCGCUCUCUCUUAUCUGCAUCAAGGAAGGGGGGCGUAAGUCGAAUGGGAGUGGGCGGAGUCAGGCCGGGGUGGAUGUGGGAUGUGGGCAUGGCAGAGGCGAGACAGGAAGUGGACAGGAGGAGGGAGAUUGGAGUGUGCCGGGCCCCUCUGAAGAUUUUUUUUCAGGGGGGCCCUCUAGUUACGCCACUGCUGUGUUUAAUUAUAGGAGAACUAUAUCUCACCUCCCCAUAAUUUUAACUAUGAGCAGCCCUCAUAGGGUGUCCUGCUGAGAGCUGUAUUUAGGCCUGCAGCUGCCAUUGCCACUGGACCUAAGUCUGCCUAAGUUUUGGUGGAGCAAUGCAUUCUGUCCCCCUGCCUUCUAGAUGGGGAGUUAGAGUUUUUUUGGAGGCUUUAGAUUCCCUUUAAGUAUUACCUCACAUUCUACUAGAAUAGUAUAAUAAUAAAUAAUACAUAAAAUAAAAGGUGUCACCGUAUAGCAACCAAUUAGCAAGUAGCAUUUACCAGUUAACUGUUUGAAAGCACAUAACACAAAACACAGACAUUUUUAUGUGUGGUGUUGUGCACCAAAGAUUUUUCGCAUUCCCUAGAACACCAGUGAAAGCAUUCAGCAUGUUAAACAAAUGUAGUCAUUUUGAAUUCUAAAUUCCAAAGCAAUUUGAGUAAUUAAAUUUGUCUUUCAUCUGUCUGAUGUCCUUGAUAAUUUGCUUUCAAACAAAUCCCCGUGGAGCCAAUCAUGUUUAGCGAGUGUUUAUAUUCCUGACAAUAAACCUGUGGAACCCAAUCUGAAUAAACAGGACAAAAAAAAGUGAGUAAACUGAAGUCUAUAUUUCUGGGGAUGUAAAGCUGUGCUAUUAGCAGCGGCCAAUCAAAACACUGAAACAUGAUAUUUAUCUAGUGAUUCGCUCCAGGGCAAAUUAUAAUGGCUGCCCUGGGAUAGGUGCAGGGUAGAAAUAAAUUGAUAUUUUUUUUUUUACAAAAUUAAUAUAUUUGUCAUGUAUCUGAAAAACAAUUAGUACCAUAUAUGUUUUCCUGUUGCUGAGUGGCUUACCUUCUUUUUUUUCCUUAGGCCAGCAUGGAAGAUUGAACAGAUCCCAUGUAAGCGUGUCCUGGAUGGUGGGGCUUGGUCCAUAGAGCAUAGACUUUCAUCCAUGAAGUUGAGAAAUUUCAGGAUUGUCUGAUGUUAUUAUCUAAUCAUUACCUUAUGAGUCAAGCAAAACACUGGAGGGGACAUGGAGGAAUAGAUACCUCACAAUUAUCGGAUUGGGAUGUCUGAUGCCCACCGGUGCUGCUACUUCAGGGCCCUCCACUCCAGUGGCAAGAUCCUCCACCUGACAAAAAUGAAGCCACCCCCACCAGGGGCCCACAGGAGCUGCCGCCUCAGGGCUCCCCACCCCAGCUGCCAUAUCCUCUACAUGGCAAACCUGAUGAAAAGAUGAAUAGCCAAGAUAUAGGCAUACGAGACAAAAUAGAGCAAGAUGGGCCACUGACACCUGGGCCUACCAGAGGUUUUCCUGGUGGGCCAGUCCUACAUUGUCCAUUUUUCAAUAAUGCCACUUACACAGCAGAACAGCAAUGGGUUGGAAAGGAGCCUCUGAAAAAAACUGGCAACCCUGGAUCCAGGAAGUAAGCGGCGAGAGUGCAUUAGGGAAACGAGAGGCGACAGCGGAACCGCAAGCAGGACUGUGCAGCGAACAAGUAACAACUCGUGACUGUGACUGGAGGAUCCUUAGGCCUGCCCAAAGCUCGGACAGCAAAAAGCCCGACACAAAGGUCUGAAGACUACUACUUUCAGGUUCCUAAAGAAAUGUUGCAUAUGUUCAAUGUCAUAGCUAGUCCACAAUCUGCUACUCAGAUGAUUCCAAGAUGAACACAGAAUACUGUAAAUCACAACCUAUAUCUGAACCUGGAAUCCUGACUGUGCCUUCAUAUGGGCCAAGCAAGACCUUCUGUUACCAGUCACUUCUUGCCAUGGCAAAUACACGGGCAUUCCUACGUGAUACAGAGAGGGGACAGUGUAUGUUUAACCUUAUUUCAUAAGCAUGAGACCAGUCAGAGCAACACAUAUAUGUCCAUGGUGUGUGCCAAAUUUGUGUGCAGAUUUCAAGUUCCAGUAUGCAAGUGAAGGAGUGGAAUCAGCACUGAAUUUCAGUAUAUUAACUUGGCAACCUCUGCAAAUGAAUCCAUGGCACGAUGAUUGGGCUUUCUCUUUGAUUCAGACUGCAUGGGCUGAAAGCUUCAUUUGGACCAAUGAGCUCUAUAUGUUACUAAUAACGGCACAGGCUCAGAUGGUGAAUACCAAACAAGUGCAUGUUACAGCCGCCCGCAUGUCCAGAAUGGAAUAUGUAGAUAUUUGGACUUGCUUCUCAAUCUCCCAUCUUGCAUAUCAUUUAUUAUAUUGUAUGCUCCAUGUACAUGCUUAAUGCUAUAAUAUUGCUUGUGGCCUUUUCAUUAAUAUAGAUCUUUUCAAAUCAAUAGUUUUUGAAUGCUUUCAAUGCUCUUCCUAGGGGUGACAAACAAUUACUAAAAAAUAAAUAAAAUAAAGAUGCCAAAGUGUCUUGGGAGGGAAAUUCACUCAACCGCAGAGUGGUGGUCUC